UACAGAGGUCCCAAGCGUUGUUCGGAUUUACUGGGCGGUAAAGGGCGCGUAGGCGGCCAGCACAAGUCAGUUGUGAAAUCUCCGAGCUUAACUCGGAAAGGUCAACUGAUACUGUGCGGCUAGAGUGCGGAAGGGGCAACUGGAAUUCUUGGUGUAGCGGUGAAAUGCGUAGAUAUCAAGAGGAACACCUGCGGCGAAGGCGGGUUGCUGGGCCGACACGUGACGCUGAAGCGCGAAAGCCAGGGGAGCGAACGGG
rnacentral:rRNA from 1 species